rnacentral:lncRNA from 1 species
GAAACAAAAAAGAAAAAAGUGGAAUGAAGCCUUGCAUUAAGUGUCUCAUUAGACUUUUUAUCUCUGAGGGGUAUCUAUUUCUCCCUCCCCUAUCUGGUCUUGAAAGACGUAAGAGGACUGCUCCUAGUGAAUGGCGGCGUGCCCUCUGACGAGAGUGGUAUCGCACUAUCUGUAGGGGUCACCUGUGGUUAAGUAAUGCC